rnacentral:misc_RNA from 1 species
UUAACUUAUUAAAGUUUAUUCAGACAUUACAGUUAAACAGAGUUUAGUAUGAUGUUCCGCACCAUUGCUGAUGCGGAAAGAAAAGGGAAAGGUAAGCAAGUGUUUAUGAUAUGGGCUCAUAAGAGACCCUCUCAUUAAUGAUCCUUCCGCAGGUUCACCUACGGAAA